GUGGCUGGUAGGACUGAUGACACGAUUGGGGCAGAUGUCUGUGAUCAGCGAAGCUGCCCAUGUAGCCUUCUAGAAAACAUUCAGGGCUGCUCUGUAGGCUCCUAGAUAUUCUGUCCUACAUACAUUUAUUGCUUGUGUCUAGAGCCUGUAGAACUUUAAUUUCUGCUACUAAAAUUCCAACACCUUCAAAAUUUCUGGGUCCCAUCAGCAAAGAAGCAGUGGAACCAUUUCUACAGCCACCAACACUCAAUUCAUGAGGGCCUGUAUGGAUGCCAGAGUACCCUGACCAUAGGACCGAAACAUUGUGGCUAGGUUUCUGGAUCACUUCUGCCUUCCUUAGGAAUUGUUUUAUGUGGCCCUGCAGAGUACGGUACGAGGGCCGCUGGCUUGUACGGUCCUGCACAGCAAGGCCCGGGCGCCCACGAGCCAAGGUACAUCACCUGAAACAGAACUUAUUGUAUAAGGCGAUUUAUGCUUGAAAUGCCUACAUGUAAUUCUCAGUACUCUUCAGUGAAGAAUGCUUCAAAUCCUGCAUAGCCUGAAUUUGUGAGAAGCUAUUCACAGGAACCUUCACACCUCGUACUCUAUCAGCAUCUCACAAUACAGGAACACCCACUUGUGUGCACAAAUCGGGCCACUCUAUCUCCAGGAUCAGCAAGAAGAGUUGUUUCUCUGCCAUGGGGUUCAGAAGUUUGAGUCUAGAUGUGUGUGAAUCUCCUUUCAUUGAUUUGUAGAAUCAUUUUCAUCUCCAAUAUAGAGCGGCAUACCCU